rnacentral:rRNA from 1 species
GACGAACGCUGGCGGCGUGCCUAAUACAUGUAAGUAGAACGCACAGUUUAUACCGUAGCUUGCUACACCAUAGACUGUGAGUUGCGAACGGGUGAGUAACGCGUAGGUAACCUGCCUGGUAGCGGUGGAUAACUAUUGGAAACUAUAGCUAUUACCGCAUAAUAUUAAUUAUUGCAUGAUAAUUAAUUGAAAGGAGCAAUUGCACCCCUACCAGAUGGACCUUCGUUGUAGUAGCUAGUAGGGGAGGUAACGGCUCAACUAGGCGACGAUACAUAGCCGACCUGAGCGGGUGAUCGGCCACCCUGGGAAUGAGACACGGCCCAGACUCCUACGGGAGGCAGCAGUAGGGAAUCUGCGGCAAGGGACGAAAGUCUGACCGAGAAACGCCGCGUGACGGAAGAAGGUUUUCGGAUCGUAAAGCUCUGUUGUAAGAGAAGAACGGGUGUGAGAGUGGAAAGUUCACACUGUGACGGUAUCUUACCAGAAAGAUACGGCUAACUACGUG